rnacentral:rRNA from 1 species
GUGCCAGCCGCCGCGGUAAUACAGAGGGUGCGAGCGUUAAUCGGAGUUACUGGGCGUAAAGGGUGCGUAGGCGGUACUAUGUGUGUGAUGUGAAAGCCCCGGGCUUAACCUGGGAAGUGCAUCGCAAACUGUAGAACUAGAGUAGAUUAGAGGGUGAUGGAAUUUCCGGUGUAGCGGUGAAAUGCGUAGAGAUCGGAAGGAACGUCAAUGGCGAAGGCAGUCACCUGGCAUCAUACUGACGCUGAGGCACGAAAGCGUGGGGAGCGAACAGGAUUAGAUACCCCGGUAGUCC